rnacentral:tRNA from 1 species
GCCUCGGUGGCUCAGCUCGGUAGAGCGACUGACUUGUAAUCAGUUGGUCGAGGGUUCAAAUCCCUCCCGGGGCU